CCUACGGGAGGCAGCAGUGGGGAAUAUUGCACAAUGGGGGAAACCCUGAUGCAGCAACGCCGCGUGAGUGAUGACGGUCUUCGGAUUGUAAAACUCUGUCUUCAGGGACGAUAAUGACGGUACCUGAGGAGGAAGCCACGGCUAACUACGUGCCAGCAGCCGCGGUAAUACGUAGGUGGCAAGCGUUGUCCGGAUUUACUGGGCGUAAAGCGCGUGUAGGCGGCCUUCUCAGUUCGGUGUGAAAGCCCCCGGCUUAACCGGGGAAGUGCGUCUGGAACUGCUUGGCUUGAGUACGGGAGAGGGAGGCGGAAUUCCCAGUGUAGAGGUGAAAUUCGUAGAUAUUGGGAGGAACACCGGUGGCGAAAGCGGCCUCCUGGACCGAUACUGACGCUAAGACGCGAAAGCGUGGGGAGCAAACAGGAUUAGAUACCCUGGUAGUCCACGCGGUAAACGAUGGGCACUAGGUGUGGGGGGUAUCCACUCCUCCCGUGCCGUAGCUAACGCAUUAAGUGCCCCGCCUGGGGAGUACGGCCGCAAGGUUAAAACUUAAAGGAAUUGACGG
rnacentral:rRNA from 1 species